CUGAGAUCAAAGUCCAUCCCCAAGCAGUGGUCUGCCAUUGCUGCCAGUCAUGCCCUGUUCUUCCUCUCCCAUUUAACUCCACUUUGAAAGCCCCCUCUGUGUACAAGGAGGGGACCCUAACACUACCCCACCACUGUCUGUGGACACCUGCAAUGGGGAAGUCUCACACAACAGGGAGGAGGAUUUUGUGAUUAUGGAGGAGGAGGAGAAUGCGCAGCAGGCAAGCGGUGAAUCCGUUCUCCCCGGCAGCCAGGACCUUUACAUCACCCUGGAGCCAAUACCCUCCCAAGGCAGGAUCCCCGACCCUGAAGCUGGAGAAAGCAGCUCUGGUGCAAAUGUUUCUAUGCUCCCCCAUCAUCUCUGUCCCUGAAGUUAUCGCAGAUUAGAAGGUGGGGAAAAAAAGCACUCACAAUGACAUGUUUUCCAAGCUCAUGCAGUCCUCCCACACUGAUAGGGCACAGCUUAAUGUAUGGAGGCAUUCAGUGGCAGAGGCCAGGAAAGCAUUAAGUGAACACGAAGAGCAGAGGCAGGAGGUGAUGCUGAGGCUAAUGGGAGAGCAAACAGACAUGAUGAAGUGUCUGUUGGAGCUGCAGGAAAGCCAACAAGAGCACAGACCCCCGCUGCAUCCAUUGUACAACUGCUUCACCUCCUCUCCAAGUUCUAUAUCUUCCUCACCCAGACAACCAAGAACGUGGCGGGAGGCUCCGAGCACCCAGCCGCUCUACUCCAGAGGGUGGCCCAAGCAACAGAAGGCUUUCAUUCAAACAGUUUUGAUUUGUAGUGUGGUCACAAUAAGCAAUAUGGCCUUGUCCUUCCCUCCUCCCGCACCCCA